rnacentral:tRNA from 1 species
UGGGGUAUAGCUCAGUAGGUAGAGCGGAGGUCUCUGAAGCCUUAGGUCACAAGUUCGAUUCUUGUUGCCCCUGCCAA